rnacentral:lncRNA from 1 species
CGUGGCCUAAGAGCUUGUUACUGUGGGUGCUGUUUUCCCCAGAAGAGCCUUGCAUGCAGCCAGCAGGCAAACUGCUGCAGUUCAGCCCAGUGCAGAAUGCAGCCAAAUGAACCAAAAGUAGUGCGAACAGCAAGUUAUCUUGUUCUUUGCUGGGCUGAUCAUGGAGAAAGAGAGAGAGAGAAUUUGCUGCUGUCUCCUCUGCACCGCUGAGCUCAUGCCUGGGACAGCUGCACAUCGUGGGCCCAGGAGGGCACUGAGUGUUUCAGUCCUCCACAGCUCUGAAGCCACGCUCAAACCAUGCAGUAGCAGGGAGAGGAGAUCCCAGAGUGGGGGUCCCGCGGCCAUCUGCCCUACCUGCUCUUCCCACCAGCAGCACAGCCUCAAUCCAGCCCCUCGGAAAGGAAGAAAAACACACUUUUUGCCCUCAGAAACUAGGAAAAGCCAAAGAAAUCUCUCUUUAGGACAAGGCCGAUGCUGUAUCCUGUCUUGUUUUUACUAAGUCAGAUCUUUUUUUCCACUGGAUCUUACUCUCGUGUGUGUUUUGUUGCUGUG